GAGUUUGUGGGACAGUGGUACAAUGAAAAAUGCAUCUCACUAUGAAUCAGAAGAUUCUAGGUUCAGCUCUUAGCAAACUCU